rnacentral:rRNA from 1 species
UACAGAGGUCUCAAGCGUUGUUCGGAUUCAUUGGGCGUAAAGGGUGCGUAGGCGGCGCGGUAAGUCGGGUGUGAAAUCUCGGAGCUUAACUCCGAAACUGCAUUCGAUACUGCCGUGCUUGAGGACUGGAGAGGAGACUGGAAUUUACGGUGUAGCGGUGAAAUGUGUAGAUAUCGUAAGGAAGACCAGUGGCGAAGGCGGGUCUCUGGACAGUUCCUGACACUGAGGCACGAAGGCCAGGGGAGCAAACGGG